rnacentral:rRNA from 1 species
AUUGAACGCUGGCGGAAUGCUUUACACAUGCAAGUCGAACGAUGAGAUCUAGCUUGCUAGAUCGAUUAGUGGCGAACGGGUGAGUAAUGUAUCGGAACGUAUCCAAUAAUGGGGGAUAACUAAUCGAAAGGUUGGCUAAUACCGCAUACGCCUACGGGGAAAGGCAGGGGAUCUUCGGACCUUGCGUUAAUGGAGCGGCCGAUAUCUGAUUAGCUAGUUGGUGAGGUAAAAGCUCACCAAGGCGACGAUCAGUAGCUGGUCUGAGAGGACGACCAGCCACACUGGAACUGAGACACGGUCCAGACUCCUACGGGAGGCAGCAGUGGGGAAUUUUGGACAAUGGGCGAAAGCCUGAUCCAGCCAUUCCGCGUGAGUGAAGAA